AAAAGCGCACGCGCAGCGCUCGACUUAGAAUAAUACACCAUCCCUGUUGAACCAUAUUCCUGUGUUGAAUUUACUCACAAAUUUGACACAAUUUUACCAGAAAUCCUGCAUUGACAAAUUCCACGGCUUGACUGCAGUUCCACGAUGCCCUCCAUGAAGCCACGGAUAGCAGCAGAUCGAGGGAAAUUGUACAUGAGAAAAUGAUGCUCAGUAAUGAGGAAAGCGACGCAAGGAGCAGGAGAAUGUGUUUCAAAGUUGAUAAUUUAUGUUUAUUUAAACAUCAGAUCUGUACGUAAUCGAACGGUAUUUAGACCGUGGGUGGGUGCUUUUACAUCAUUUUGAUUGCAUAUUAAAAUAAUAACAUUAAAGAAGUAAACAAACUUACUUAACGGUAGGGUGCUGAAGUCCAUGGGCGACGGUAACCACUCACCAUCAGGUGGGCCGUAAGCUCGUCUGCCUACACGGGCAAUAAAAGAAAACUUAACUUACUGAAAGUUAAACUUACUAACAAAGUUAAAACUUACUUAAACAAAGACAGUUCUCCAAAUGUUGCAUUUUGUUUAUCCUUAUAAGCACGAAAGCAAUGAUGCUUGCUACCGGAAUUUGUAUAUUAAUGUGGAACUAUAACUUUAACAUUUAUUAAUAGUGGCACCGCACUUGGGGAAGACCAUAAAUAAAUGAACUUUGAAAUCAAA